CAAGUGAUGACAAACUUUUCAAGUAGGUCACUGUGAGCUAUUUUCAAGACUUCAGACUGUUCAGACUGUUCAAAAUGUUCAGUGAGUAUCAUAUUCGAUGUAAUUUCAGAAACCAUAUAGUGCUUGGACAUCUUAAUGAUAUAUGAUGAUGUAUGUCUCCUUUUUAACAGAGAGAAACCAUUUGGACACAAUAGAAAAAACUUUGGUUUGCUGCCUGAAGGAGAAAUUUGGUAUAUCAGCCUCAAGGUUGAACUCAAAUCUCUUAUUGUCUGGGUUCCACAGUGAUCAUUAAUAAUUUGAUAUUCACAGAUGCCUGUCAUCAUAAAUGUGUCAUAUUUGUAAUUAAUUUUCGAAGUAAAUAUCCUAUAUGGUUCUUGGUUCGCCAGUGACUAUUUUGUAACUCUUUGAGUUAUUUGUUUCUUGGCUACCAUUCCCACCAUCAUGACUGAAGACCAAGUCCUGAAGAGUUACCGAGUAUAGUAUUUAAUCAAAUAAGAGAAAUGCCUACAAAUACCUAACCUCUCUCACAACAUUGCCAUAAUUCUGUCGUGUGGCUCUCAUAACCAUUUACCAAUCACUUAGAUUUUUGACAGAAUUUUGCUCUCUGAGUCUCACAUAGCUAAUUGUCCUCUUUGCAUCUUAACUAUAAUCUUCAGGUAAAUGUAGUUGUUGCUGAAAGGCUUAAGGCAGACUGGUAUGCAUUGAUUGACCCGCAUCUGUCCUCCACCAUAAUUUACAAAGCAAGAAGCAAGAACACAGAAUGACCCAGAAGAAAGAAUUUCAUAGCCAUGUGGUCAGCAGUGGGAUAGAUGAUUUUGGGAUCUAGUUUCAUGGUUGGCAGGAUAAAAUUCACAAUUAUUCAGGUUGAUGGGAAACUGAACAGUGGGGUUUUGAGGCCUCCAUGUAGAUUUCAUCUUUGAAUAAUGAUAUCCCAUAAGUGGGAUCAGUGGACUGAUAUCCAUGGGCUCCAAAGGAAAGGUCGAUGGGACACAUAGUCACAGUACUUUGUUCAAGUUUACUGCAUGUUGCUGUACCCCCAACUAGGGUGUUUGCACAUAUUCAUGUGGCCACAUCUGGUCAUAUACCAAUGGAUUCGUUGGGACUUGUUUUUAUAAGUUACCAUGAGUUGGCUAUGGUAAAGAGCCACACUGAUCCAUGACAACUCUGACAUGAUACCACAGACACAGAUAAAAUAACAAGAGUGCCAAAGGCAAUACCACAGACAGAGAUACAAAAACAACAGCGCCAAAGGCAAUGAAUGGCAGCAGGGGUGACUCACGAAAGUCAUGAAACCUAUCAAAACAGGCCAUGUACAGACAUUGCAUACCAUUGGAACCAGAUUCUGUGCAACACAACAACAGAUUCUUUUGUCCUCCAGUUGUGUGUUUUCUCAAGACACUAUGGGUGUUAACAAGAUUUCGGAUCAAUCCAUGUGUUUUAUUAUUGUUGCUCAACACUAAACAAUUGUCUAGCUUUAUGUCAGAUGGCAUAAGUAAUUGAGUUCAGAUCAGACAAUUCAGAGCCCCUCAUAUGUCCUUCAGGUUAUUUUGGCAAUGAUGUGAUAGAGGAAUGGUUAUCACACAAAUUAUCGAACAAUAGUUAUUGUCAAUAAUUCUAUGCAUACUUUCUCUAUUACAUCAGGAAUUAUCCCAAGCACUUUCCCCAAUGAUCUGCAUUGUGUUGAUCAAGGGUGAUUACUGGAAAGAAGUGAGGUUUUCUUGCCUUGGACAUGCACAAAGCAAUGAUAAACUGUUAUCCAUACAACUAAUAUUGGUCAGGUGAUGGUGAAGAGGACUCCUGAAGAAUUGUUUACAUUAUGAUGACAGCCAAAAUACAGGAUUAUGGCAGUGAUGUGAUAUAGAGAGUAUUAUUAGAAUUAUAAACAAUCAUAGCUAUUGUUUGAGUUUCCUGUGAUGAGUCGUGUUAUAUAUAUAUGUAUAUAUAUGUUUCUAUUUGCAUUUUAUGAAUGAUCAUAACUUGCUUUUUCAAACCAAACAUUUUGACCAAUAACUCUUACUUAUCAAUAACAAUUCUGUUCUUUUUUCUAUGAAUUAAAUAUUGAUUCUUUAGAAUUUAUAUGUUCCAGUUGAAUAAGCUGCAUGAUUCCUUGUUUUGGUUGGAUUCAGAAAUGUGUCUAAAAAUGUAUGCUAAGUGGUUACCUGGAUGGUGUGAGAUAAUUUUCACAAUAUUUUAUGGUGCUUGAAACAUGAAUCAGUUUGUUUCCACUAUGUUAAAUCUGUACUUAAUCCUUCUAAUUAUUUCAAGAUUGGAGUAAAAGGUAUUUUAAAGCAGAUAUAGAGUAAGAUGAUAUUUACUUACUCAUUGUCAGGAGAGAUCCACAUUACAAUUUUCUAGUGCAAAAAAAUACUUGUUACAAGUCACUCUUGCUAGACAACAGUAUUAGCAUCUGUACCGAAAUGUCUCAUAAUAUGAUAAAGAAGUUGUCAUCCAUAAAUUAUCCAACCUUUCCUAAGUUUUCCCAAAGCAUGUUACGUCUGUCUCUUUCAGAUAUCAUAUUAACCUAUUUUGAAAAUAUACACUAUUCUUCUCUCUAAGUCAGCUUGAAAAGGGCAUGAUAUUGUAUGGUAAUAGAUGUGUAUAUAUGUAUCUCCAAUUUUCCCUUGUACAAUGGUGUCAUUCAUUGCCUUACUGAAAUUCUCACUUAUGUCUGUGAAUUAGCAUGUGAUGUACAAUCAGUAAUAUGUAGGUUUGGCUGUAGUAGUUUGGGAUAUGGUAAAGUCAAACUGCUGUUUAAUGAAUUAACAUUGAAGCAGUGGACCAGAAGUAUUAUCAGUACAGAGUUUCUCAAGGAAAAGAUUUUGUUGUGAUAUACUGGUAGUGGUUAGUGUCAAAGAAGGAGUGUGUUGUGUAUCAUCUAUUAGCUAAAAAGAUAAUACACAUCAGUAUUGUUACCAAUAGUUUCAGAGCAUGUUUAUUACUGUUUUCACAUUUUUGUCAUUAAUUAUGAUGCAGAAAAUUGAGUUCUCAAAAUUACUCUAAAAAAGUGAACUAAACUUUGUUCACAGAAGUUACUGUGAAAGUGAAUGAUUUCAGACAUGACAGAAUGAUUUAAAUUUCAAUUAAUAUUUGAAAUUAAGUAUUUGUUCCCCACUCUCAGAACAAGAUGAUUUAGUGGAGCUAUAUCUAGAACAUGUUCUCAUUACUCAUUUACUCAUUUUUGGUAUUACUUUGUGUCUAUAGAUUAUAUAGGUUCUCAUAAAUGCAAGAUAAACAAAUAUGCAAUAGUCUUUUAGUGUUUGAGACCGUUAGUUUUAAAAUGAUUUGUACAGCUGUAGCAUUUUGUACAUAGUUGUGGAGGUGUGAGACAUUUCCCUGUGUUACACAUGGCAGGAUGUAGAGACUUGACCAAUCACUUUUCGAUUGGAUUCUGUUCAUGUUUGUCUUGUCAUGCAUCCUCUAUGGUAGUGUUAUAUAGCAUGGUGUUUGUAAAACAGUUACUGAUAUUGUAUAGUCAAUGUACAUGCAUCAGUCCUUUAUUUAUGCUUUCUGUAACAUGUUUAUUUCAGUUAGCCACAAUUGGUAGCAAACAAAACAGUGGAGGUUCAGUUACAUCCUAAUCGUGCAAAUGUAUGUCAGAAAUAUAUUUAGAUAUUAGGAAUAUAUUUAUUUCUUAAAUCUCUAUUUGUAGCUCAUGCUGAUAUUUUCAGUCUGAGCAUUUGAAAUGGGUCGUUGUUGUCCAUCCAUUUUAUAAAUAUCUACCAUCUACACUCUCUGAUAAAAGUCAGGGUCAAUUCUGUUGAAACAAUCUAUAAUUCUGUUGACGACAUAGGAAUUAAAAAAGUCACUUCUAAAUCCAAAUCACCAUAUAAAUAGGCUGUAUUGGACUUUUUUGAAAGGCACUCAACAUACAAACUAAACUGUAUUAACAUCUGUGUGUAUAAACUAUAGUUCAUGAAAGCUUUCCAAUGUAACAAACACCAGUGUGUUUUGGUAAUUGGUGUUAGGAAUCUUGCUGAACAACCUAAUCAUUCUGGAUUCUUUCUUUUCAGUUUUAUUUUACUUUUAAUUGUAAAUUACUUUUUUUCAAAUCUUAGUACAAAAUACAGUACCAUGUAACAUGAAAAGAAACUUUAUUCCAUGAAAGAUCUACUACAACUUUUUGACUUGAAAAAACAUAUCUAUUUGAAAAUCCCAUAUCACUGUUUGGGUCUGAAUUUCAUGUCAUUUCAGGGUCCAGGAUUCCAUCUCCAACACCCCACUUCUUUGCUCCCGAUCCUCAUUUCUCCCAGAUCAUGCUGUCUAUCACUGUAUUUGUAAUUUGCAAGUCCUAUUCAUUCACAACCACAGUAUGUUCACAUCUAAAAGGUUUUCUAUCAAAUUUGGAAAAUUCACUGGCUUGAUAGUUUAAUGCAAGUUCUCUACAUAAAUCUUUUUACACAAAACACAAAAAUCUGUAAAUCAAACAGGCCAUACAAGACUACAGUGCCACAAAUGACAGUUUAAAGACAGUUUAGAUUUUAUUAUUUGAUUAUCCAAAAUUGUAAAGCAGCCAUAUAUGACCUGUUGUCUCUCAAUCACAUUUCUAUUUAAAUGAAACAUUUCCUAAUUACACAAGUGCAUUUCUGUAAAUAGUGAAGAAUGUAAAAUAAAAAAACUCUGUUGUUUUUAUCUUAAGAAAUGUUCACUCACUCUUUUAUCAAUAUCUUUAUUUAUUCUGUUAUAAUGGAGAAAUAAGGUAUGUAUAAUUCCAGCUGUGGUCUCAAAAAAACUCAGAAUUCCAGUCCCAAUUAUAAUCAUGACUACCAUUAUUUCUACUUAAUCAGGUGAGCUUCAGAACCAUGUGGCAUUAUUUCUCAAGUUAACUGUGACAAACUAUAUUUUAGGCUACAGAAAAGGCAAGUAGUGGUAAAGGAGGAUUUUAAUAAAGCUGGUAAGGAUUGGAAUUUCAUGAGUAGUUUAUUAUUGCUAUUUUUAAAGGCUAACAAACAAACAAACGUAAGUUAGUGUAUUAAUAUGUCAAGUGUAAUAAUGUGGUAAGUGGUAUGAAUAUGUAGUUCUCAAGGGUGGUGGGUUUUGAGAAAAAAAUAUUGCAGUAGAGGAAUUCUGACAUGCACAAAUAAAUAUACACAAACAAACUAUUAGAAGGUUGUCAAGUAGAGCAUUAUCUAUUACAUCCUUAGCAAUAAUGUUAUAAUCAUGUCCCAAAAGAACGUGUUAAGUUUCAAGAUUUCCUUAAUCUGUUUUAUGCUUUUUCAUAUACAGUGUAUCUGUUACAACUUAAGUUGUGAUUUUAAAGGUUUUUAAACCUGAAAAUAUCCUUUUCUGUACAGUUUGUUUUUGUUUAGUAUGAUGUACAACAUUAAUUUGUGCAAGCAGGUUUAAUGUAUUCAAAGCAUUGUCUGUCUUGCUAACCAAACGAAAUAAAAAGAUUGAGUUAAGAAA